GCUUUGGAGUUUCCAAGGUACUUGAAGAAGGAGAAACAAAUCAGCUAUCGAAGUUGCUUGCAGGCUAGCACCUCCAAGUCCCUGAUCUGCGCCUGUCUUCGCAUAGAUCUUCUUGUAGAGACCAAAUGACUCUGUGUGGCUAUGAGAGACCUGAGGAACACAUUCUCUAAAUGUUGGAUCAGAAGAGAUCAAGAUCAAAUUUGUUUGGUAAUGAUCUCUAACUUAUUUUGAUUCCUGUGGUAGAUCUAAUAG
rnacentral:lncRNA from 1 species